rnacentral:rRNA from 1 species
AAUCAACGCUGGCGGCGUGCCUAACACAUGCAAGUCGCACGAGAAAGGGGCUUCGGCCCUGAGUACAGUGGCGCACGGGUGAGUAACACGUGAAUCAUCUACCUCCGAGUGGGGAAUAACCUAGGGAAACCUGGGCUAAUACCGCAUAACACUUACGAGUCAAAGCAGCAAUGCGCUUGGAGAGGAGUUCGCGGCAGAUUAGCUAGUUGGUGGGGUAAUGGCCCACCAAGGCGAUGAUCUGUAUCCGGCCUGAGAGGGCGCACGGACACACUGGAACUGAAACACGGUCCAGACUCCUACGGGAGGCAGCAGUGGGGAAUUUUGCGCAAUGGGGGAAACCCUGACGCAGCAACGCCGCGUGGAGGAUGAAGUCCCUUGGGACGUAAACUCCUUUCGACUGGGAAGAUAAUGACGGUACCAGGAGAAGAACGCCCCGG